rnacentral:rRNA from 1 species
CCUACGGGAGGCAGCAGUGGGGAAUAUUGCACAAUGGGGGAAACCCUGAUGCAGCGACGCCGCGUGAGUGAAGAAGUAAUUCGUUAUGUAAAGCUCUAUCAGCAGGGAAGAAAAUGACGGUACCUGAGUAAGAAGCCCCGGCUAACUACGUGCCAGCAGCCGCGGUAAUACGUAGGGGGCAAGCGUUAUCCGGAUUUACUGGGUGGAAAGGGAGCGUAGACGGCAGUGCAAGUCUGGAGUGAAAGGCGGGGGCUCAACCCCCGGACUGCUCUGGAAACUGUACGGCUGGAGUGCAGGAGAGGGAAGUGGAAUUCCAAGGGUAGGGGGGAAAUGCGUAGAUAUUAGGAGGAACAGCAGUGGCGAAGGCGGCUUACUGGACUGUAACUGACGUUGAGGCUCGAAAGCGUGGGGAGCAAACAGGAUUAGAUACCCCAGUAGUC